rnacentral:rRNA from 1 species
UACGUAGGAUGCAAGCGUUGUCCGGAAUUACUGGGCGUAAAGGGCGAGCAGGUGGCAUUACAAGUCUGAUGUGAAAUCUCCCGGCUUAACUGGGAGGGUCAUUGGAAACUGGGGAACUUGAGUGCAGGAGAGAAGAGUGGAAUUCCACGUGUAGCGGUGAAAUGCGUAGGAGAUGUGGAGGAACACCAGUGGCGAAGGCGAGUCCCUGGACAACUUCUGACGCUGAGGCACGAAAGCUAGGGGAGCAAACAGG